rnacentral:rRNA from 1 species
GCUACCAUGCAGUCGAACGAUGACGGAGAGCUUGCUCUUCUGAUUAGUGGCGAACGGGUGAGUAACACGUGAGCAAUCUGCCCUUGACUCUGGGAUAAGCGUUGGAAACGACGUCUAAUACCGGAUACGACCCUUGGAGGCAUCUCUGGGGGUGGAAAGAAUUUUGGUCAGGGAUGAGCUCGCGGCCUAUCAGUUAGUUGGUGAGGUAAUGGCUCACCAAGGCGACGACGGGUAGCCGGCCUGAGAGGGUGACCGGCCACACUGGGACUGAGACACGGCCCAGACUCCUACGGGAGGCAGCAGUGGGGAAUAUUGCACAAUGGGCGAAAGCCUGAUGCAGCAACGCCGCGUGAGGGACGACGGCCUUCGGGUUGUAAACCUCUUUUAGUAGGGAAGAAGCGAAAGUGACGGUACCUGCAGAAAAAGCACCGGCUAACUACGUGCCAGCAGCCGCGGUAAUACGUAGGGUGCAAGCGUUGUCCGGAAUUAUUGGGCGUAAAGAGCUCGUAGGCGGUUUGUCGCGUCUGCUGUGAAAACCCGAGGCUCAACCUCGGGCCUGCAGUGGGUACGGGCAGACUAGAGUGCGGUAGGGGAGAUUGGAAUUCCUGGUGUAGCGGUGGAAUGCGCAGAUAUCAGGAGGAACACCAAUGGCGAAGGCAGAUCUCUGGGCCGUAACUGACGCUGAGGAGCGAAAGCAUGGGGAGCGAACAGGAUUAGAUACCCUGGUAGUCCAUGCCGUAAACGUUGGGAACUAGAUGUGGGGACCAUUCCACGGUCUCCGUGUCGCAGCUAACGCAUUAAGUUCCCCGCCUGGGGAGUACGGCGCAGGUAACC